CCCCCCGCACCUUGUCUCCCGGGCAACCCCUCCCUGCCUCUCCCUGCCCCAGGGCAUUUUCCCAGCUUCCUCUCUGGCUGUCUCUCCACUGUCUCUUUAGCCAGCUCAGCACAGAGCACUUUGAGUAGUUAUUUGCCCCGUAACAAUAAGCCCCAUGGCGAGCCCCCGGGGUUCUCCCACAUCUGCCCUCGCCAGACUGGCCUCAAGGGGUCUCUGAUGACUCACAGCAGCCCCUUCCCCAGCCGGGCGGCAGCCGCCACGUCUGCUUUGGAAGAUGCCACCUGUCGAGCACUCCUUUCCGUGAACCACCCCCACCUCGAGCUGGGUGCGCAGAAGCCUCGGCCACAGCAGCUUGGGUGCCCUGGACCUUCUUGGACCCCUGGGCCGCCCUGUUCUGGCGACCUCAGCAGCAGCUGCUUCCCAACCAGGGUCGUGGAGCAGCGCUGUCCUCAAGGACUUUCUGCAGCCACGGGGAUACCUGUGCCAUCCUGGAGUGUGGCUGCCAGACACCCCGAGGAGCCCCUCGUCAGCUGCCAACGCUUUGCUUCCUAAUGUUAUCAUCGGUCACUGCCGUCCGGAGGUGAGAGCUGGACCAAUAUAUAAAUCAGGCCUUGUGAUGAUAGCCGGAACUUCUCCGCUCGAGACAUCACACAGGAGAACUUAUGAGCACUUUAUCCAGACUAUAAAACGGGAAAUCUCUAAUUUUUCUCAACUGAGGGCUUUUGAAGUCCCCAAAAGUAAAUCUCUCUGCAGGGGGCCUGGCCUGCUGCUCUGUGUCUUUUGCUUCCCCUCCCUGCAGGGCGCCAUGUCUCCUGCCUCCGAGCACCUGCCACAGCCUGUGCCUCCACCUGGGUGCAGGUAGGUGCUCUGGCCUGAAGCCCACCGGCCGGCCGUUCUCAAGUGCUCGGCCCUCACACGUGUCCUCACAGCAUCUCUAUCUUGCGGCACAUGAAGGGACGCCUGCCCCCCGUCAUCUGCUAGCCGUGGGUUUCCUCUCCGGAGCCCCUUCACCUGCCUCAUUCUGGGCGCUGCAGGGCCAUACCCCUGGGCCCCCCUGAGCCGAGGCCCCUUCCCUCCAGCUCUCACCCCAGGGUGUGGGCCAUCCCUGCCUAGUGGCUCACAGCAUGGAACUAAGAUCCCAGCCAGAGAAGGGGCCCGGCUUGCCCAGUGCCCCUUGAUGACAUGCUGGAACACCGCCCAGGGCUUCUGACCAGAGCCCAUGCUCACCCCAGAUCCCCAUGCCAGGGGACACCGGGACCAGGACAGUGACCACAGAAUGCAGUCAGUGACGGGAGCACUGCCAAGUCCUGCUAUCAGGUGAGACGGGCUGCAGGGCGGCCCCCGGGAAGGAGCCAGGCUAUAGGUGGGCCGCUUUCUGCUCUGUACACGCACACACCUCUCCCAGAGAUGAUUCCCAUCUGAACCAGGAGAAGCCCGAGCCUCCCACUCUCCCUCAUCCAAUUAGUCAGGAGCUUGUCUCCUGCGGGGAUGGUGCCUGGAGCCCUCAGACCUGGCAGGGAGGCCCCCACCCGGAGCCGGGCUGUGAGGGGAGGAGUUAGAGGAAAGCUGGGCGGCCACUUCUCCGUCAACAAACCAGCCACACGGACAGCUUUCCAUCAUGACCUCAGGUUUAUUAGUGGUAUUAGCGAGUCUUCCCAAGGUCAGCUGCAUGCAACACACAGGUCACCCUCAUCCAGUGGUCCUAGAGCUUAGUUACUGCAUGGUAAGGCUUCUUAAGUCACAGUGUAUCUUCAAGGCCUGGGCCAAAGAGAGAGACUUCCGGACAAAAUGACAUCAUGAACACUGAGCUCUGCGGGGCGGAUCUAGACUAUGCUGCACUUGACCUACACGCACUGGAACACUGCUCACGGUGACGGCACCCGGACGCGCAGGCCCCCGGGGAUAGCAGGCUCCAGGUGUCCGGGGAGGGUCUGGUUUCCGAGGGGGGAGCUCACGUGUGGAUGCGUGUGUGUAGACAGAGAUUGUAACGAGGCCGCCGGCCUGUGUGGGAGGCUGCCCGGGGGCGUCCAGGGGCCAGCGGACAGGCGGGCACGGGCGGCAGACGUGGUCACGGGUCGUCGGAAGAUCCUAACGUCUGAAGAGCAGUUUGUUGUCGAAAGUCAAAAUGGUGGUGUUGUCUCAAUAGGCGUGGAGUUUUGAGGUUGUGGAUCUCACCAUUUAUGUAACUCAGGGAUGUCUCCUUUCUCGGGAAAUACAACCACGUGUCCCCCAACUUCAGUGACCAGUCCCAUCCUGAGAGCUGGCUGCCCACACUCAGCCAUCCGGGCAGUCGGGCGCCCUCCCCGCAGGAACCCGAGCCCCAGCCGAGGGCGGGGGCACGCUGCUGCUGCCCCCUGGAGCGCGCUGUCCUCGAGGGGCUCCCUGCACAGCCGCACCCGGGGGCACCCACGUUCGCCCUCCACGGCUCCACACCACACGGACGUACAGACAAACCCUUGUCCGUCGCAAUGAGAAAAUUCAGAAUGUGGCAAAAUACUUGACUGUUCUACAAAGACUGGUUCCUGUGACUCUCCUUGGAUAAAGACCCCUUUUGGUCCAAAAAAAAAAAAAAGUGGGUGGUGAGGGCAUGCCCUUCGGAGGAGCCAGUGUCAUCAGGUGGGCUGUGGGUUCAGGGGUCGGGUCCUGGGUCCGGCUCCCACUCCUUGGGGUGCAGGCGGGCAGCCUAGAUGUACAACGGGGUCUCCUGGCCUGUGAGGAGCCUGAACAUGGCGGCAGGCAUGGUCUUCAUAUGGAUCUGCCAAUGAGAGAGAGGGGCUGACCCAGCCCUCCCUGCCUCCGCCUCCCGCCCCCGCCCCCCGCAUGCGAGGCCAGCGAUGCCCAAGUCCCCUGAGCGUGUCCUGUGUAAAGUACCAGCGUCCAGAGGGGAGGAAGAAUGACCUGUGGGCUGUCAGCUACAAAUUGGCACUUGUCUUGGGCACUUGCCAUCUACCUCUACAAGGAUUGAAGCAGGUGCCACUGCAGCUGCUGACCUUCAACACCCCCUGAAAGAAGUUCAGGGUGGAGACCAGGAGUGAGGCCCUCUGUGCUCUGGGGAAAACUGGGAGAACAGGUCUUCAGAUAGUGAGAUAUUUUCAGGAGCCCAUUUUAUGAGCCCAAUUCUUACAUCUCCUCAUAUCUAGAAAAACACCGAGAUCCUUCCUGGUGACGUCUGCUGCUCAUGACUAGCUGUAACCCUCAGGAGACUUGCAGAACCUCCUGCAAAAAAUACGUGCUCCAUUGCAUGUCCUUCCCCUUCACCAAAAUCACAUGCAUAGUGACCUUCCCCCCUGCCUCUUUGGAGCAGUUUACCAGAACUAUAUGAAAUGCUGUCUCCUGGGCUACAGUCCUCAUU